rnacentral:rRNA from 1 species
GAUGAACGCUGGCGGCGUGCCUAAUACAUGCAAGUCGAGCGAACGGACGAGAAGCUUGCUUCUCUGAUGUUAGCGGCGGACGGGUGAGUAACACGUGGAUAACCUACCCAUAAGACUGGGAUAACUUCGGGAAACCGGGGCUAAUACCGGAUAAUAUUUUGAACCGCAUGGUUCAAAAGUGAAAGACGGUCUUGCUGUCACUUAUGGAUGGAUCCGCGCUGCAUUAGCUAGUUGGUAAGGUAACGGCUUACCAAGGCAACGAUGCAUAGCCGACCUGAGAGGGUGAUCGGCCACACUGGAACUGAGACACGGUCCAGACUCCUACGGGAGGCAGCAGUAGGGAAUCUUCCGCAAUGGGCGAAAGCCUGACGGAGCAACGCCGCGUGAGUGAUGAAGGUCUUCGGAUCGUAAAACUCUGUUAUUAGGGAAGAACAUAUGUGUAAGUAACUGUGCACAUCUUGACGGUACCUAAUCAGAAAGCCACGGCUAACUACGUGCCAGCAGCCGCGGUAAUACGUAGGUGGCAAGCGUUAUCCGGAAUUAUUGGGCGUAAAGCGCGCGUAGGCGGUUUUUUAAGUCUGAUGUGAAAGCCCACGGCUCAACCGUGGAGGGUCAUUGGAAACUGGAAAGCUUGAGUGCAGAAGAGGAAAGUGGAAUUCCAUGUGUAGCGGUGAAAUGCGCAGAGAUAUGGAGGAACACCAGUGGCGAAGGCGACUUUCUGGUCUGUAACUGACGCUGAUGUGCGAAAGCGUGGGGAUCAAACAGGAUUAGAUACCCUGGUAGUCCACGCCGUAAACGAUGAGUGCUAAGUGUUAGGGGGUUUCCGCCCCUUAGUGCUGCAGCUAACGCAUUAAGCACUCCGCCUGGGGAGUACGACCGCAAGGUUGAAACUCAAAGGAAUUGACGGGGACCCGCACAAGCGGUGGAGCAUGUGGUUUAAUUCGAAGCAACGCGAAGAACCUUACCAAAUCUUGACAUCCUUUGACAACUCUAGAGAUAGAGCCUUCCCCUUCGGGGGACAAAGUGACAGGUGGUGCAUGGUUGUCGUCAGCUCGUGUCGUGAGAUGUUGGGUUAAGUCCCGCAACGAGCGCAACCCUUAAGCUUAGUUGCCAUCAUUAAGUUGGGCACUCUAAGUUGACUGCCGGUGACAAACCGGAGGAAGGUGGGGAUGACGUCAAAUCAUCAUGCCCCUUAUGAUUUGGGCUACACACGUGCUACAAUGGACAAUACAAAGGGCAGCGAAACCGCGAGGUCAAGCAAAUCCCAUAAAGUUGUUCUCAGUUCGGAUUGUAGUCUGCAACUCGACUACAUGAAGCUGGAAUCGCUAGUAAUCGUAGAUCAGCAUGCUACGGUGAAUACGUUCCCGGGUCU